rnacentral:lncRNA from 1 species
GUCCCGCGGACGAACUUGGCCACGCCGCCCACCAAGGCUAUAGCCCACCCGUUUUUUGCCCAUUUUUCCGCUGGGGGGUCUUGGGACCCCGACCUUCGGGGGCUGAUUUUUGGGCGCGGCUGUGCCCGUGGCUUAUUUUUGGCACACGGAGGCCGCCCGCCAAGUCAGGGGCCAUUCCGAGUCCCGCGGACGAAGUUCGCCCACGCCCCCCACCAAGGCUAUAGCCCACCCGUUUUUUGGCCAUUUUUCCGCUGGGGGGUCUUGGGACCCCGACCUUCGGGGGCUGAUUUUUGGGCGCGGCUGUGCCCGUGGCCUAUUUUUGGCACACAGAGGCCGCCCGCCAAGUAUGGUGCCAUUCCGAGUCCCGCGGACGAACUUCGCCCACGCCGCCCACCAAGGCUAUAGCCCACCCGUUUUUUGACCAUUUUUCCGCUGGGGGGUCUUGGGACCCCGACCUUCGGGGGCUGAUUUUUGGGCGCGGCUGUGCCCGUGGCCUAUUUUUGGUACCCGGAGGCCGCCCGCCAAGUCAGGGGCCAUUCCGAGUCCCGCGGACGAAGUUCGCCCACGCCCCCCACCAAGGCUAUAGCCCACCCGUUUUUUGGCCAUUUUUCCGCUGGGGGGUCUUGGGACCUCGACCUUCGGGGGCUGAUUUUUGGGCGCGGCUGUGCCCGUGGCCUAUUUUUGGCACACGGAGGCCGCCCGCCAAGUCAGGGGCCAUUCCGAGUCCCGCGGACGAAGUUCGCCCACGCCCCCCACCAAGGCUAUAGCCCACCCGUUUUUUGGCCAUUUUUCCACUGGGGGGUCUUGAGACCCCGACCUUCGGGGGCUGAUUUUUGGGCGCGGCUGUGCCCGUGGCCUAUUUUGGCACACAGAGGCC